rnacentral:rRNA from 1 species
UACGUAGGGGGCAAGCGUUGUCCGGAAUCAUUGGGCGUAAAGAGCGCGUAGGCGGUCCGAUAAGUCCGCUGUGAAAGUCCAGGGCUCAACCCUGGAAUGCCGGUGGAAACUGUCGAGCUCGAGUCCGGAAGAGGCGAGUGGAAUUCCUGGUGUAGCGGUGAAAUGCGCAGAUAUCAGGAGGAACACCAAUGGCGAAGGCAGCUCGCUGGGACGGUACUGACGCUGAGACGCGAAAGCGUGGGGAGCAAACAGG